AGGAAGCAACCGCUUCCAGCAAGCUCCCUCCUUUCUAUCCCUGAGCCCUGUCCCCCUUCUCCGCUUUGUGGAGAGGGGUUUCAGAACGGGGAGCGGGGGGCAGGAGGACAUCCUGAUAUCGGCACCCCUUUCCUCCCCCCAAGCAACCAGGAAGCUCGCAGGAGCAGCUGAAGGGCAGGGGGCCACAGGCAGCCUCGGGCAACAAUGAGGAGGACAUUGUUGAUGAGGAAGAGGAGGAGAAUGCGCAGCAGGGAAGAGGAGGAGAAUGCGCAGCAGGCAAGCAGAGGAUCCAUUCUUCCUGACAGCCAGGACCUUUUCCUAACUCUGGAGCCAAUCCCCUCCCAGGGCCUAUUGUUGCGGGACUGUGAUGGCGGGGAAGGCACCUCUGCUGCAACCUUGUGUGAGGGUGCUUCCUCCACACCAGCACAAAGGCUGUCCCAGAUUAGAAGGUGAAAAAAGCGGACAAGGGAAGACAUGUUCUGUGAUUUGAUGCGUUCCUCCGAGACUGACAGAGCCCAGCUGAAUGCAUGGAGGCUCACACAGUUGGAGAGCAUGCGCACUGACCUAGAGGGCAGGAAAGCAUGCAGGGAACAAGAGCAUAACACACAAGAGGAGAUAUUGCGACUUAUGGGGGAGCAAACAGACAUGUUGAGGCAUCUGGUUGAGGUGCAGGAAAGGCAGCUACACCUUAGAGUCCUGCUGCACCCAAUGAUGAACCAGCUGCCCUCCUCACCAAGUUCCACAUCUUCCUCUCCCAGAUGUCUUAGAAUGCGGGGCGGGGUGGGGGGGAGUUCCGUUAUCCCUUGAACUCAACUCCAGGGGAUGGUUCAUGGAGCAGAAGGCUCUCAUUCCCACAGCUUGGAUUGCUAGACAGUGCAGUUGUAAUAAGCUAUGUGUCCUUACCCCUCCCGUCCUGUGUUAUCAGGACCUUAGACCCGGGUUAUCUUUGCUAUUCAUUGCUGUCUUUGUUCAGUGUUUGAUAGCAUAAUAAAUAUGCACGG